rnacentral:lncRNA from 1 species
CUUCUGCCCGGGCGGCUGGCUCCUGCCCGGGCAGCUUCUGACCCGGCGGGCGGCUCCGGCUUCUGCCCGGGCGGCGGCGGCGGCUCCGGCUUCUGCCCGGGCGGCGGCGGCGGCUCCGGCUUCUGCCCGGGCGGGCGGCUCCUGCCCGGGCGGCGGCGGCGGCUCCGGCUUCUGCCCGGGCGGGCGGCUUCUGCCCGGGCGGCUUCUGCCCGGGCGGCUUCUGCCCGGGCGGCUUCUGCCCGGGCGGCUCCGGCUUCUGCUCCUGCGGCUCCGGCUUCUGCUCCGCCGGCUCCGGCUUCUGCUCCGCCGGCUUCUGCUCCGCCGUCUUCUUCUGCUCCGCUGUCUUCAGUUAUCUUCUGCGAAGUGUGGCUG